rnacentral:tRNA from 1 species
CAUUAAGAAUCUAAAUAGCAUUAACCUUUGAAGUUAAAGACUGAGAGUUUAAACUUUCCUUAAUGA